GUUGUAUGGUUAAGUGACUAAGCGUACAUGGUGGAUGCCUUGGCAGUCAGAGGCGAUGAAGGACGUACUAACCUGCGAUAAGCUGUGAGAAGUCGGUAAGAGACGCUAUUACUCACAGAUUUCCGAAUGGGGAAACCCACCCAAGAUAAA
rnacentral:rRNA from 1 species